rnacentral:rRNA from 1 species
ACACUCCUACGGGAGGCAGCAGUGGGGAAUUUUGGACAAUGGGCGAAAGCCUGAUCCAGCAAUGCCGCGUGUGUGAAGAAGGCCUUCGGGUUGUAAAGCACUUUUGUCCGGAAAGAAAUCCUUGGCUCUAAUACAGUCGAGGGAUGACGGUACCGGAAGAAUAAGCACCGGCUAACUACGUGCCAGCAGCCGCGGUAAUACGUAGGGUGCGAGCGUUAAUCGGAAUUACUGGGCGUAAAGCGUGCGCAGGCGGUUUGCUAAGACCGAUGUGAAAUCCCCGGGCUCAACCUGGGAACUGCAUUGGUGACUGGCAGGCUAGAGUAUGGCAGAGGGGGGUAGAAUUCCACGUGUAGCAGUGAAAUGCGUAGAGAUGUGGAGGAAUACCGAUGGCGAAGGCAGCCCCCUGGGCCAAUACUGACGCUCAUGCACGAAAGCGUCGGGAGCAAACAGGAUUAGAAACCCGAGUAGUCCCAG